CUACAGUGAUGAUUUAUUUUUUGUGACAUCUUGACUGGGCCAUGGAGUAUCCAGAUAUUUGGGUAA